UUUCCUUUCAGUUGCAUUUGUUUAGCAUCACUUUACUCACCCAUUAUUUUCCAUCUUUUUCUUUUUAAAGGUAAGGUAUCACUUACCUUUAAAUAUGUAUAAAUUACAUUUAACUAGCUUUGGCUUUUAGCACCUACUAUGACCACCUCUGUUUUUAAAGGUGGAAUUUAAUCCAUUCGUAUUAAACAACAGUGGUUUCAUUUAACGUUGUUUUGUUGAAACAUCAAUGAGGAAAAAUCAGUGCAUUCCCGGCCGGGGCCACUGUCUGUGUGGAGUUCGCAGGUUCGGGGCUCCUCCAUGCCUUUCCCAAGGGUUUGAAGACGCUGCAGCAGCUCGCGGCUCCUCCUCCUCAAGUGGUGACACCCAGGAGCAGGAAGAAAAGGGCGAGAGGCUCUCUCAGAUGCCUGCCUCUUUCUUCUUUCCCAGAAGCCCCCGGGGCACAUCCCUUUGUCUCACUGGCUGGGACGGGGUCACGUGGCCAUGCCCGCACCGCGGGGGAGGCUGGGAAAGCAGGCGGCCAUCAUCUUCCGCCUGGAAUAGCUGAUGGAUCCCACCAGCCAGGAGGACGGGAACUGAGAAAAAGAAAACACAUAUCCGAAUACUGCAAAGAGACAUUCAAAUCAAAGAUAAUGGACCCAAACAAUUGCCGUCCCUUAUAUUUCAAGUUUGGAGAAGAGAGCUAAUAAAAGAUUAAAGAGAAGACCCGGGAGCCGCAGGAACAAGUUUGAGCAAUCACUUGUCACUUGAGAAAUUUCAGAAGAACUUUGCUGCUGUCAUCCACCCCUGGAAGCUCACCAAAACCCCCAACCAGCCUGGAAGCCCCACUGGUGGGAAAGGAGAUGACCCAUUCCCCUGACCAGUGGACAGCAGGCCUGCCUUCAAGUCACAGGGAGAUCUGUCGCCCUUCAUUGUGAUGAUCUAUAGAAGUUUAGAACCUUCUGUAAAACAGGCAGCAGCAAUCGAUACAGAUCUACAGCUGCCUUCUCAACGAGUCUUUAAAUAUUUAUGUCACUGCUUUACUUAAGUUACUCACGGAAUGAUAUUGUAUGGGAUCCUCAUGCAUUCAACAAAACGUUGAUUAAAUAUCCACCACUCUGGUUAGUGUUCUGCAUUAGAAAACUACACUCUUUGAGUCAGCAAACAGGCAGCAAGCAAACCAACCCCAGGCGGGACAGGAUGAACUGACGGACCAGCACAGACGUCCUCAGUACGCACACCUGCCCCGGGGGAGCACAGCGCGGCAGGGGGAAAAGGAAAGGGAAGGAAGAAGCACAGACCUACUGUGUGCCGUGUCAUUUAUUAGGCACCCGAAUCUAAUGAGAAGGGCAUUGUACUAACAGGGAAACUAAGCUUUUGGGGAGUUUGGAUAACUUGUACAAGGUCACACCCAGCUUCUGUGUUUAUAGAAACAGGAGGUGGGGACAGGGAUUCGAACCCAAAUCUCUUUCACCCCUAAGUCCUCCCCUUCUGAAUCCAUGCUGGCUGCAGACCGGCAGCAGGGAGAAGCCAUGGGGAAAGCUUGUUUUAGGUCAGGUGCUUCCAAACGGAUUGAAGCAGACGUAAUUCUGAAUCUAUCUGAGGAGCUUUUCUUUGUUUGUAGGGAUCCACAGAUUUCUCACUUGCUGAAUUUUAUAGUUGAGGCUAGUGUUUUUGCUGAUAAAUGCAUGUGGACAGGCUUUUCAAUUUUCUUUUCAUUCCUGGAGAUAUUAUUUAAUACAUUUCUUUGAUGGGUGGUGAUGCACAAAUCGGUUUUAAUAUCAAUAAUGUACCACUUGGAAAACAUUCAAUUUCUGGGUGCGCCAAAAAAAACAUCCCUUCAUGUCAGGGUUUAUUGAAUCCAAUCCUAGGAGGCUGAGGGAGAGUGGAGUUCCUUAAGCAGAAGAGUAAACAGAUGGUCUUUGGAAAGUGCUCGUGUUCUUAAGCACCGAAUUAGUUUUGGACAGAAUGGAGUCACAUAUGCCAACGCCGUUGGCCAGCAGAGUGGUAGCAGGGAGACAUCAAAACUAUCGUGACAUUCUUCAAACCUUUGGGCUUAAUUUGGGUCUCAGUGAUCUGAUAGGAGUGGUUACAAAUUGCCAGGUGCCCCUCGCCUGGAUAAUUUAGGAAAAGAGGCAUGGCUGGCAGACAGUAAGGGAACCCAACAGGGCUUAGAGCAGUUGUAAGCAUUUGAUGUUCAACAUCCUUCAGGGCCACCUCCCCUGGGGCAGGAAUCCAUAGAGCCGGGAGUGCCAGCUUCUGGCCUCAUUAUCCAAAACAGUAACCCCAUGCUGUGGUCUGAAUGUGUCUCCAAAGCCCACGAGUUGCAAACCUAGUCCCCAGCGCACCAGUGUUGGGAGGUGGGGCCUGAUGGGGGGCUCCACCUUCAUAAAUUGAUGAAUGUCGCUGUCAUGGGAGUGGGCUUGUUACAAAAGCAAGUGUGGCCCCCUCUCACCCCCUCUCCUGCCAUCUUGCCUCCCACCAUGCAGCAAGAAGGCCCUCAGAGAUGCUGGCACCUUCCACUGCACUUCCCAGCCCCGAGAACUCUGAGAAAUAAAUCUCUCCUCUUUAUAAAA